AUGAUUUAAAACUUCAACGAACAAUAAAAUAUGAAAUGCAGAAAACUAAAAAAGAAUUAGGAUCAUUUUGUAAACAAUUUGAUUAUACUUUAAAAUCUCCACAGAAAUGUGAUGGACAAUGCUCGCGAACACAUAAAUCUAAAAAACAGUAUAAAAAUAAAUAUUAUAAAAGACGAUACAGGUCUACACCUAGUCAAGAUAAAUUUUAUUCUAA
rnacentral:lncRNA from 1 species